GGGUCAGGAUGGGACGGCCUCCCAACGCUCCACCCCAGAGCCUUUCAGCAGCAAAACCAUCAGGCGCUGACGGUCCCAAGAUGAUGAAUUUCAGCCCCACAAAGGUCUUCAAGAGGCUGGGCCCUGUCUUGUUCUUACAUAUGUUAUCUCACUUUCAUAACAACCCUAGAGGUACUACGAAGAGGCCCAUUUUAUAGACAGGAGAACUGAGGCUUGGGGGGGUGCAUAACUUCCGGAAGGGCACAAAGCUAAAAAGUGGUAGGUGCGGAAUUUGAACCCAGGUCUUUGAGAUGCCCCAGUCCCUCCUCUCACAAGAAAGCACCUGAGCUUCCCACUUUCUGAUUGACGUGGCAGGGUUGGUUGGUUACAUCUGAAUCACCUGGGAGCUUUAAACUUCCUAUUGCUGGGCCCACCUGGGUGAUUCUGAUUAAGCCGUUUUAGAGCGUUUGGAGCCCCUGAAUCUCCUUGACUCCAUCCCACCCGGAAGAGCAGAUAUCCCGUAAGUGCCAAGUUUCUUCCGCUGUCUGCAGCUGACCAUGAUGUCUUCUAGCUGGCAGCCCACCCUCUCCCACAGACCCCCAGCCAAAUCCCCAAGAGGCAGGUCACUCCCGCGUCCACCUUCCUCCCCCGGGGAGCUCCAAUCUGCAAGAGCGCCGUUGUUUUGCUGGAGAAGUCUGCCAUACAUCAUCGUUUAUCAGCCAGCGCCCAAUUCCGGUCGGCCCUCCUGUGUGUCAGGAAGUGGGACUAUUUAUGGGGCUGCCACUCUGCAUAGCUGGAAGGGACUCAGGCUGCCUCUGCGGUGGCGUUGCUGCUGUCAGCUGGCCUGCUGGGGUGACGUGUCUGUUCGUUUGCAGGCCUGGUGCACCGUGGAGAUAAGACCCUCUCAGGAAGGGCCCACCUCUGCACAGCGGCUCAGCUCCCCUCGGACAGCUGAGGGCCACUGGCCCCCUUAGGAGCUUUUGGUUCCAUGUCCCUGACUUGGUCACAAUGUCAAGAAGGGGGUCAGUGAAAUAAUAGUAAUAAUAAUAAUAAUAACAAUAAUAAUAAUAAACAGCCAUUCAUUAUGUGCCAGACACUAUUCUACUAUUCUAAGCACUUGGCAUAGGUUCAAUCAUUUACUCCUCAAAACAAGGAGCUCCUUUGGUCCCCACUAUGCAGAUGAAGAAACUGAGGCAUGGAGAAGUUUGAUUGCUGGUUGGUGGCAGGUUGGGCUUCAAACCCAGGCACCUGGCCCUGGAGGCUGCGCACCCAGCUGCCCACACAGCCAUUGCUGCUGCCUCCCCAGCCCUUGCUGUGGGCCAGGCCCGUUCUCAGGGCUCCUGCACUCUCUUGUUUAUUCUUCCCAGCAGCCCUUGAAGAUAGGAACUAUUAUUAUCCAAGGAAACCAAGGUUGAGAGAGGUUAGGUAACUCGCCUGAGGUCACACAGCAGCAAGCGGAGCCGGGAUUCCAAGCCAGGCAUCCCACUUGGGUCCUAAUCUACCUGCUCUAAGCCUGUUCUCCCCUUUUGCAAGAGACAAGGAUGGUUUGUCAGUGGAAACAGUUCAAUCCAGCUUGUUCUUCUAUUACCUCCCCUUCAUCCUUCUAGUUCUUUCCUUCAGGAAGCUCCCUCUCAGGUGCAAGAGGAAUGCCUCAUGCAACUUCAGCAUAGAAAGGGCUUGGCCCUGGUUUCUCCAAGCCUGUGUUUCAUAGAACCUAAGACCCUGUGGCUAGAAGGGGCCUUCUGAGGUCACCAUGCUGGCUUCCGGGCUCCAGGCAAGACUGUUCCAGAAGAGGCUGCUGUCCUGAUGAUGGCUUUCUUCCUGACGGUUUCCAGGGAGGGAGGGAGGACCCCCAGGGAAGAUAAAAGGGCUGGCCAGACCCCUGCUCAGAGAGACCUGG
rnacentral:lncRNA from 1 species